UGUGAAGGCUGGCCUUGGACUCCAGACAGGCCUCAAACUCAGGGUCUUCCUGCCUCAGCCUCCCAGGCCCACCUCAUCCACACUCUAUAGGAAGGAAAAAUGAGAUGUAGAAAGGCAAAGACGGAGUGGAAAGACUGUUCCACACGAGGGCGCUGUGUGUGCAAAGGACCUUAGUUCAGGAUCCAGUUCCCAUUCUGAAGAGUGGUGGCCCUGUAACCAGCACUCACAAAGCAGAGUGGAUGCACCCCGAGUGGGAAGAGAGAACUCGCUGAUGCACAGGAGAGCUAGGAACCGAUCCCAGCCGCUUUCUCACGCAGAAGCCAUCCUCUUCUUCCAAAGGAUUCAGGUCAUCCUCAGUCCAGGGAUGGCGUUCCU